GUCCACGCUGUAAACGAUGAUCACUAGACGUUGGUUUUGCUUUGCGAAAUCAGUGUCGUAGCUAACGCGUUAAGUGAUCCGCCUGGGGAUUAUGGUCGCAAGACUAAAACUCAAAGGAAUUGACGGGGGGUCCGCACAAGCGGUGGAACAUGUGGUUUAAUUCGACACUACGCGAGGAACCUUACCUGGGCUUGACAUGUUUUCGACCGUUGUAGAAAUACAACUUUCCAAACUUCGGUUUGGACGAUUACACAGGUGCUGCAUGGCUGUCGU
rnacentral:rRNA from 1 species